UACGGGGGGAGCAAGCGUUGUUCGGAUUUACUGGGCGUAAAGGGCGCGUAGGCGGCCAGCACAAGUCAGUUGUGAAAUCUCCGAGCUUAACUCGGAAAGGUCAACUGAUACUGUGCGGCUAGAGUGCGGAAGGGGCAACUGGAAUUCUUGGUGUAGCGGUGAAAUGCGCAGAUAUCAGGAGGAACACCAAUGGCGAAGGCAGCACUCUGGGACGUGACUGACGCUGAGACGCGAAAGCGUGGGGAGCAAACAGG
rnacentral:rRNA from 1 species